GCCUUGGUAGCUCAGUUAGUUAGAGCAGUGCUCUCGUAAAGCACAGGUCGUGGGUGCGAAUCCCUCCCAAGGCU
rnacentral:tRNA from 1 species